AACAGCUUGCACCUCAAAGUAAAGUCGGGGUAUUGUUUAGCUUAAAUUUUUCAAAAGUGUGGUCUGAAAUUUAUUUUAGCUAAGUAGCAUUUGGGGUUUUCACGGCGGAGAAUACGAAGAUGGAUAUCCGGUAGAAGUUUACUUCUGCCAGACUACAAAGAGCUACAAUCAAGAAGACAGUCUCUGAUCAAGAACGAAAGUUAGAGGUUCGAAGGCGAUCAGAUACCGCCCUAGUUCUAACCUUUUAACGAAGAUUAAGCAAUAUAAAACUUCAUCCAAGUACUGAUACUUUCUUCCUGUAAGACGACUUUGCGCUCUUCUGCGAGAAAGGCCUAGUGUCAGCCAAUUGGAAACGGCGUAGAGAUGAUAGACUCAUCAUUGUUCUCACUUCAGAAAGACACUUCCAGGAAACAGCAAAACGCCGGAACCAGCGAUUAACACAGUCCCCACGUGCAUGGCGUUCACUUCAUCCACACCUACUCUCUUUCUUUGUUUCGGCGUCACGGUUAAAACUUGUAGGACAUUAUUCUUGCGAGCUACACACCAAACAGGCUGUGGGUCUGUUCCUACUGCUUUUAAUUCCCACACAAAACGCACUGCAGCUUGUGGAGCUGGUAGCGGAAUUCACAAACCGUAGGCUAAUAUAACCCCCCAUCUUCUGUUUUAUUGUUAUUAAGUGAUCUGAUGACGUUGCCAGCUGGCCCGUGGCCAGUUUAUUUUUCCAAAUGGCGAAAAGAAAUUUACAAUAUUUAUGUAUAUUAACUGAUCAACAGCGCCAUUUCUGUAGGCAACGAGGCAGUCUUUGGCAAACAAAACAAGAUCCAGACAAGAAUGUUUCCUUGUGCAGAACCGAUAUGAACAGUUUUAAACAAGAAGAGUGGAAGUAAUUGCAGUUGCAGUAAUACUACAACACUUAUCGAAAAUCGUAGCCGAGGGAUUACCACUCCUGAUUCCUAUUCGGGAGAUCCUACGAUCGAAUCUCGAAACGGACAACGACUCACCUGCUUUCUUUGUAAUUAAUUCAGUCCCUCCAGGCAUUUGACGGUAUCUUAAAUUAUCCACAGUUGCUUCCAGAUCAUUUCCAUUAAUUUUUAUUCGAAGCUGUAUAGACCUAGUCUGAGUUACUUUCAGCGUCGUGAAAUAAACACCAAAUA